rnacentral:rRNA from 1 species
AUGAACGCUGGCGGCGUGCCUAAUACAUGCAAGUCGAGCGAACAGACGAGGAGCUUGCUCCUUUGACGUUAGCGGCGGACGGGUGAGUAACACGUAGGUAACCUACCUAUAAGACUGGGAUAACUUCGGGAAACCGGAGCUAAUACCGGAUAAUAUUUCGAACCGCAUGGUUCGAUAGUGAAAGAUGGCUUUGCUAUCACUUAUAGAUGGACCUGCGCCGUAUUAGCUAGUUGGUAAGGUAACGGCUUACCAAGGCAACGAUACGUAGCCGACCUGAGAGGGUGAUCGGCCACACUGGAACUGAGACACGGUCCAGACCCCUACGGGAGGCAGCAGUAGGGAAUCUUCCGCAAUGGGCGAAAGCCUGACGGGGCAACGCCGCGUGAGUGAUGAAGGUCUUCGGAUCGUAAAACUCUGUUAUUAGGGAAGAACAAACGUGUAAGUAACAGUGCACGUCUUGACGGAACCUAAUCAGAAAGCCACGGCUAACUACGU